rnacentral:rRNA from 1 species
AGUGAACGCUGGCGGUAGGCCUAACACAUGCAAGUCGAACGGCAGCACAGUAAGAGCUUGCUCUUACGGGUGGCGAGUGGCGGACGGGUGAGGAAUACAUCGGAAUCUACUUUUUCGUGGGGGAUAACGUAGGGAAACUUACGCUAAUACCGCAUACGACCUACGGGUGAAAGCAGGGGAUAUUCGGACCUUGCGCGGUUGAAUGAGCCGAUGUCGGAUUAGCUAGUUGGCGGGGUAAAGGCCCACCAAGGCGACGAUCCGUAGCUGGUCUGAGAGGAUGAUCAGCCACACUGGAACUGAGACACGGUCCAGACUCCUACGGGAGGCAGCAGUGGGGAAUAUUCGACAAAGGGCGCAAGCCUGAUCCAGCCAUACCGCGUGGGUGAAGAAGGCCUUCGGGUUGUAAAGCCCUUUUGUUGGGAAAGAAAAGCAGCAGGUUAAUACCCCGCUGUUCUGACGGUACCCAAAGAAUAAGCACCGGCUAACUUCGUG